AUUAAACGCUGGCGGCAUGCCUUACACAUGCAAGUCGAACGGUAGCGCGGGGCAACCUGGCGACGAGUGGCGAACGGGUGAGUAAAGCAUCGGAACGUGCCCUGGAAUGGGGGAUAACGUAGCGAAAGUUACGCUAAUACCGCAUAUUCUGUGAGCAGGAAAGCAGGGGAUCGCAAGACCUUGCGUUCUGGGGAGCGGCCGAUGUCGGAUUAGCUAGUUGGUGGGGUAAAAGCCUACCAAGGCGACGAUCCGUAGCGGGUCUGAGAGGAUGAUCCGCCACACUGGGACUGAGACACGGCCCAGACUCCUACGGGAGGCAGCAGUGGGGAAUUUUGGACAAUGGGCGGAAGCCUGAUCCAGCCAUGCCGCGUGAGUGAAGAAGGCC
rnacentral:rRNA from 1 species